AACGCACCUUGCGCUCCUUGGUAUUCCGAGGAGCAUGCCUGUUUGAGUGUCAUUAAAUUCUCAACUAUACAAGUUUUUAUAACCUGUAUGGCUUGGAUCUUGGGAUUUGCGGGCUCUUACGAGUCGGCUUUCCUUAAAUGCAUUAGCAGAGCUUUUGCCGCUAACCUCUAGUGUGAUAAUUAUCUACGCUAUUGAGUUGCGACAUAUCGAGGCUUAGCUUCUAAUCGUCCGCAAGGACAAUACUUGACAAUCUGACCUCAAAUCAGGUAGGACUACCCGCUGAACUUAA
rnacentral:misc_RNA from 1 species